AUGGAGAGGAGGCCACCGAAUCCUCGCCCUGAUCAGUGGCAAUCAAACAAGAGGAGGGCUGUGGAUGAGGAGCAGAGGGAUUGGGGGGAUCGGGCACCAUGGGAGCGGGAGGAGGAGGAGCUCCGUGGGCGCCUGCUUGGACAGAAUCAGCGAAGACCCGAAGGAAGAUGGCGGCCGGAUGAGCGCAGAGAGGGGGGUCGCAACUGGCAAGGUGAAAAGGGGAGAGUCUGGCAAGGUGAACAAAGGGAAGGGCUGGAUGUGAGGAGAUUCGACAAGGGGAGGAAAGAACAAGUCCAGGAGGGGCCCCGGGAGGACACCAUCAAGUGCUACAACUAUGGUGAAUUCGGCCAUCAUCUAGUGAGGUGCACAAAACCAUCUCUCUGCUAUGUCUGUAAGAGCUCUGGCCACAUUUCAUCUCAUUGUCCUACCAUGAUGAGGUCUUGUAAGAGAGUCGAGAUUAAGUUUAAGGGAUAUGGAGUUAAUGAGCAAGGUUUUUACAGCAUGAAAAUAGAUGUUCCAGCAGGGGAAGGGUCUAAAACUGCUUGCAGGGGAAUUUUGUCUGUUAUUAGAGGCAAGGGCUCGGUUCCUAAAGUGAUGGUUGAAUUAUCUUCUCUGUUUAAGGGCCUCAAAUGGGAUUGGAAGGUGAGACAAAUUAAUGAUAAUGACUUUCUAGUGGAUUUCCCUAAUCCUGAAGCUAGGAGCAAGCUGACCCUGGUUAAGAGCUUUGAUUUUGAUAAGUUUCCUAUCAAGGCUAGUGUAACUGAAUCAAAGAUGACUGUGGAUGAACUGUAUGUGGUUUGGGUAAGAAUGUAUGGGAUGCCUGAUUUUGCCAGAUCUGAAGCUUCAAUCAAAGCUGUCGCUGAAUUGGUGGGGGAAUUAGAAGAGGUGGAUGGGACUUCUGUGGCUAAGGGGGAAUUUGUGAGAAUGAAGAUUGAGUUGAUAUACAUUAAUGGAGUUGGCUACAAAUUAAGAUGGGAAGUGGAAAAAGAUUCACUAAAAGGAACUGAUCUUCUUCCUCCUGAUGGGAAUGAUGAUGAUGAGGAAGAUGACAGAGAUGAAGACAAGAAGGAUCAGGACAAGAAGGAAGAGGGGGAUAAAGGGGAUCUGAUGGAUAUUGAUCUUCAGAAGAAAUAUGCCAUAAGGGGAUAUGAAGAGGAGGAAGAUGGAAAAUGUGCUAUACCAACUGAUUCUGAUAUAGAAAAAAUGAGGGAGGAAGAAAAUGAAGGGGAUGAUGAAGAGCAUGAGCAGGGGGCAUGUGAAGAUGUGAUGGGUCAGAUUAUAGAAGAAGAGGCUUUUCUAAAGGUAGAAAGGAAGAACAAGAAGAAGGGAGUGAUACUUGCCAAGAGACAAGGCUUAAGGGUGAGGGACAAGAAUGUACCUGUGCAAUUCAAGGCUGAGAUCAGAAAGUCCAAGGUCAAUCUGAAUCCAGGUACAUCCAAUCCUUAUGCCAUUUUUAAUUCUGUUGAUAGGAAUAUUUUAAAAGAAAUUGCUAGUGCUAGUUGUAUUACUCUUGGGGAUAGUGAGGAGGAGAUUAAUGUGAAUCUGGAGGCUAUCUGUGCUAUAGAAGUAGCUCAGGCUGCCCUAUUUGAGGCUGAACAGAACUUGAUAAGUAUGGCAGCUGUGGAUGACUCAACUGGUAGGGAGGAAAUAGAGGGGGCUAUAACUGAUGAGACAACCCAUCAGGAGGGGGUUGCAAGUGAUGGGUUGACUGUGGUUGAUGAGGAACCAAUUGGUGAGGGUUUAGUGAAAUUAAAGCCAGGGAAAGGUAGCCGGAAAGGCUCUGUGCUGAAAAAGAAAGGGGGUGGGGGAAGAAGGAAAAAGUCCUGAUGAAAGUUUU
rnacentral:lncRNA from 1 species